rnacentral:rRNA from 1 species
GAUGAACGCUGGCGGCGUGCCUAAUACAUGCAAGUCGAGCGAAGCGGGGACGGGUGAGUAACACGUGGAUAACCUCCUAUAAGACGGGGAUAAAUUCGGGAAACCGGAGCUUAACCGGCUAAUUAUCGAUGGAUCCGCGCUGGAUUAGCUAGUUGGUAAGGUAACGGAUUACCAAGGCAACGAUGCCUAGCCGACCUGAGCGGGUGAUCAGCCACACUGGAACUGAGACACGGUCCAGACUCCUACGGGAGGCAGCAGUAGGGAAUCUUCCGCAAUGGGCGAAAGCCUGACGGAGCAACGCCGCGUGAGUGAAGAAUGUCUGCGGAUCGUAAAACUCUGUUAGUAGGGAAGCGGUACCUAAUGAAAAAGCCACGGCUAACUCCGUGCCAGCAGCCGCGGUAAAC